CGAACAUCAUCACAUUUUUUCCUUGCUUCGUGGCCCUCAGAAGAUUAUCAGGAUUCGUCGGAUCAAUCUGUCAUCACGAAUUUAACGCAAUGAAUUCAACGAUUGUGGCAUGAAGUGAGAAUUGGGAGGAUAAAAUUAUUACGCAGUUUCCAGGAUGAAUCAACCCCACGAUAAACUCCUGGUGAAUAUCUCUGUCAACUGGGAUGAUCAAUCAAUGAUCCUGCAGGCCGGGACAAGUGCAAUUUGAUACAAAACAUCACAAAUAAUGCCCUCAUCUCCGCCUGCAUGACAAUUGAAUUCUCUCGUUCAUCACUCAUCGAUUCCAUGGACAACGCCAGAAGACGAAAAACAAAUAACGUCGAGAUUUCUGCACUUCGAUAGGCCGGGACAAGUGCAAUAUUACAAUAACCAGGAAACAUUGUCACAUAUCUCGACCUACCUCUCAUGCAACAAAAUCCUCCACAACAAUCAAGCAACUCCUGAUAUUGAUCUUUGUCAACAAUAAUUCAAAUCAAGAGCGCCAAUUCGAAUCUAUCGAAUUAAUCGUGCACAAGAUGAUGCUGAGAAUGUUGGACUGAUGAAUUCCGGUGGAAGACUGCUGGCUGUAGCCAGGUGUCCUGCCUCUUUAUUUCUUUUGGGUCCCC